rnacentral:rRNA from 1 species
UGAAUACGAGACGCUAAGGCGUCGAAGUAGUGUAUGUCAUACUUCCAAGAAAAGCUUGCACUGUCAUAGAUAAAAAACGCCUGUACCAUAACCGACACAGGUGGGUAGGUAGAGUAUACUAAGGGGCGCGAGAUAACUCUCUCUAAGGAACUCGGCAAAAUAACUCCGUAACUUCGGGAGAAGGAGUGCCUUAUUCUUAAGGUUGCAAUAACAAGAUCCAAGCAACUGUUUAUCAAAAACACGGUCUCCGCUAAGUCGUAAGACGAUGUAUGGGGGCUGACGCCUGCCCAGUGCCAGAAGGUUAAAGAAGCUGGUUAGCAUUUGCGAAGCUAGUAACUGAAGCCCUGGUGAACGGCGGCCGUAACUAUAACGGUCCUAAGGUAGCGAAAUUCCUUGUCGGGUAAGUUCCGACCCGCACGAAAGGCGUAAUGAUUUGGAUACUGUCUCGGAGAGGGGCUCGGUGAAAUAGACUUGUCUGUGAAGAUGCGGACUACCUGCACCAGGACAGAAAGACCCUAUGAAGCUUUACUGUAACUUGAAAUUGAAAUUGGACUUUAUUCGCGCAGUAUAGGUGGGAGGCGUUGAUUAUAAUCUUGCGGGAUUAUUGGAGCCAUUAGUGAGAUACCACUCUUGUAAUGUUAGAUUUCUAACUUUGAAUCAUUAUCUGGUCAAAGAACAGUUUCAGGCGGGCAGUUUGACUGGGGCGGUCGCCUCCUAAACGGUAACGGAGGCGUACAAAGGUUUCCUCUGAACGGUUAGAAAUCGUAUCUAGAGUGUAAAGGCAUAAGGAAGCUUGACUGUGAGACCUACAAGUCGAGCAGGGACGAAAGUCGGUCUUAGUGAUCUGACGGUACUGAGUGGAAAGGCCGUCACUCAACGGAUAAAAGUUACUCUAGGAUAACAGGCUGAUCUCCCCCAAGAGUUCACAUCGACGGGGAGGUUUGGCACCUCGAUGUCGGCUCAUCGCAUCCUGGGGCGGUAGUACGUCCCAAGGGUUGGGCUGUUCGCCCAUGAAAGCGGUACGCGAGCUGGGUUCAGAACGUCGUGAGACAGUUCGGUCCAUAUCCGGUGUAGGCGUUAGAAUAUUGAGAGGAGCCUUCUUUAGUACGAGAGGACCGAGAAGGACAUACCUCUGGUGUACCAGUUAUCGUGCCAACGGUAAACGCUGGGUAGCUAUGUAUGGAGUGGAUAACCGCUGAAAGCAUCUAAGUGGGAAGCCCACCUCAAGAUAAGUAUUCUCAUC